rnacentral:lncRNA from 1 species
UGCCACAUGGAAUGAUUUUUUUUUUAAAAGUUUUUCAACUACUUUUAGGACAAAAAAAUGUUACAAUGCUUGACUUUUCAUUUAGUUACAUAAAUAAUUUCUUAUAAAUAUCUCUUUAUAAACAAUAUAUAAAUAGCUUUACAACAUAAAUACAUUUAUGCAUGACAUGAAUUUACAAACAGCAACGUUAUACAGCUGGUUUCAUCAGUCUCUUGGAAAAGCGCUGUCCCUUGUCUUGGUGAGUGUUUGUGUAUAUAAUAUAUAUAAGAUAGAGAGCACUUUUUUAAAAAAUAACAAAACCAAAACAGCUGGUGCCAUGACUCCUCGUACCAAAAAGAAAAACACAGCCGCAUCUUUUGUCUGUUCCAGGGGGUCUCUGCUUUUCUAGGUGUUGCCUGGGGGAUGGUUGUGCCUGGCCACGGUAGGAGAAAAUGGACUACGGAUUCAAAGCCCUGGGUCCCUCAGCAGCCGAGGCCGCUCAUGGCGCCGAUGCGGUCCAGCUUGAGGCCGAAGCAGCCCUUGCCCAGGCCCUUCUUGUGCAGGCCCUUGUGCCGGCGGCCCGGCGGGUCCUGCAGCAGCCGCGCCCAGCCCGCCCGCGGCCGAGCCUCGCCCCGCGCCUCCCGCGCCUCCCGCGGGCCCGAGCCGCCGCCGCCGCCGCUGCGCUCCUUCUCCCGCUCCUUCUCCCGCUCCGCCGCCGCCGCCGCCUCGGGCGGACCCGCUGCCGCCGCCGCCGAGCCGCGGGAGGCCUGAGGCGGGGGGGAGAAGGUCAGUUCGCCGCCGCCUCCCAGUGCGCCCCGCCGCCCCGCUCAGGGCAGCGCCCCCCGCGUCAGAGUUGGGGACCCCCGGUUGGGGUCACCCCGCUACCGUGCCCAGGGCAUUCUGCUCCCUCCCGAAAUCCAUGCUCCCUGCCCUGGGGUCAGAGCAUCCGCACGCCCCACACAUAGCGGUGCCUUCCCGAACCCCCGGCACUGCCCUGAUCACUGCAUGGCUGGGGUCACCAUAUCACCCCAAAAGGGCUGGUGGUGCUGCACCCCGCAGCUGUGCUGCUGUCACUGCAUCAUCCCCAGCCC